GAGGAUGUGACGCAGCCCUGCCAAGCUGUGAGCAAAACUGCACCCCAGAAGCACGAAAAGGAAGAAAGCCGGGCUGCACCGCCCCCACGAGAGCGAGCAGGUCGCUCUCCUCUGCUCUGGGGCGCGGGGGCGGGACUCCGCCGCGUUUCGCCCAUUGAGUCUGCGCCGGCUCUCUUUCUGACCAAUCAAAACGUGCGUUGACUGCGUGGAUGAGUUUGGUCUUCCGGCUUCCUGGGAGCUGAAGAGGGGAGGCCACUUGUCUCCAGCAGCAGCUUCCGGGAGGAAGGGAGCUUCUGCGCAGUGGAGGUCAAGGUCAGGGGGUAUCCGGCUCCCGGCACGCGGUAGGCAGUCAGUAAAGAAUGGACCCACCCAGCUGAGGAAUGGGAGGUCUGCACGCGCCCCCCCUCGCGUCCACAGGUCCCUCCCUCUUACCCCUGCAGUCACAUUUUCUCAACGGGAGGAACUGCCCCUCAGAACAAUUCAGGGACUCAGAAACGGCACUGAUGAGCUCAGCACUUUCCCUGAUGAGAUCCGGCAGCUGGAGGCCCGACUACAGUGGCCUAAUUGUGGGACACGGCCUAUGACUUAAAAAAAAAAAAAAAAAAAGUAGUGUGGAAAAGAAAACCACAGGCCCAAAAUGGCGUCACCGAGGCCAGAUCACCGAACGAGGACUUAACAUCUAAGCGAUCUGCAAUGUCACUCUGCCCCAGAAAUGUAGUCUGAGAGGGUCAGUUAGGAAAUUUCUGAUCAGCACCCAUGAGGUGAAUGUCCCGCGGGCCCUCUCCCAACCUCCGAGGAAAGAUGAGGUCAUCCUCCUAAUAGGACCCUCUGCCCCUUCCCCUGAGGAGAGGAGACCUCGCCUGGAAGAGUCCGUUACUUUCUUUAGCGAAUAACUUCCUUCCUAGAAAAUCCUUCCAUUUUUCUACGGCGCCUCAGAGCUCCCCUCUACUUGCUACAUGGGAUGCUGCCUAUUGAACAGCUUUUCUCCAGACAUUCUAGAACCAUAUAAAGAGCUGAAAAACUCCAAACGCCUCACUGUGAAGUUACAAAGCAGAGAGCAGCUUUGGAAAUGGGAAUGGGAAUGGAGGAAGGGAAUGGGGAAGGUUCAGGAAGACAGAACGACACCAGUUGGCCAGACCUGGCUCAGCUGAAAAUGCUUUUGUGCCACUGUGCCCCAGCAGAGUGGAGUCACUCUCCUAGAUUAUUUACAGAUGUGCAUGCUAAUGACAGAAGUCAUGUGAUGGAAUGACACUGUACAAGUGAGUCUGCGGGGGACACCGAGUAACGCUCGGAGGAAGAUCAGUCAGUUUCCUCCAAGCAAAACCACCCUAGGACAAUCACUUUACAACAUGGGAUUCAAGACAGCGGGAAAAAUGGAGUAAAUAUUGCCUUGAAAUUAAGACAGUCGCACACAUAGAGUUUUAACAAGCAGGUGACACAAUUAGCUUGAUAAAAAGAAGAC